rnacentral:rRNA from 1 species
GUGGGGAAUAUUGGGCAAUGGGCGAAAGCCUGACCCAGCAACGCCGCGUGAAGGAAGAAGGCUUUCGGGUUGUAAACUUCUUUUGUCAGGGACGAAAAAAAUGACGGUACCUGACGAAUAAGCCACGGCUAACUACGGGCCAGCAGCCGCGGUAAUACGUAGGUGGCAAGCGUUAUCCUGAUUUACUGGGUGUAAAGGGCGUGUAGGCGGGAAAGCAAGUCAGAUGUGAAAACUAUGGGCUCAACCCAUAGCCUGCAUUUGAAACUGUUUUUCUUGAGUACUGGAGAGGCAGAUGGAAUUCCUAGUGUAGCGGUGAAAUGCGUAGAUAUUAGGAGGAACACCAGUGGGGAAGGCGAUCUGCUGGACAGGUACUGACGCUGAGGCGCGAAAGCGUGGGGAGCAAACAGGAUUAGAAACCCCAGUAGUCC